GAGUUUGAUCUUGGCUCAGAUUGAACGCUGGCGGCAUGCCUUACACAUGCAAGUCGAACGGCAGCAUGAUCUAGCUUGCUAGAUUGAUGGCGAGUGACGAACGGGUGAGUAAUACAUCGGAACGUGCCCUGUAGUGGGGGAUAACUAGUCGAAAGAUUAGCUAAUACCGCAUACGACCUGAGGGUGAAAGUGGGGGACCGCAAGGCCUCAUGCUAUAGGAGCGGCCGAUGUCUGAUUAGCUAGUUGGUGGGGUAAAGGCCCACCAAGGCGACGAUCAGUAGCUGGUCUGAGAGGACGAUCAGCCACACUGGGACUGAGACACGGCCCAGACUCCUACGGGAGGCAGCAGUGGGGAAUUUCGGACAAUGGGCGAAAGCCUGAUCCAGCAAUGCCGCGUGUGUGAAGAAGGCCUCGGUUGUAAGUA
rnacentral:rRNA from 1 species